rnacentral:rRNA from 1 species
GGUGAACGCUGGCGGUAGGCCUAACACAUGCAAGUCGAACGGCAGCACAGUAAGAGCUUGCUCUUACGGGUGGCGAGUGGCGGACGGGUGAGGAAUACAUCGGAAUCUACUUUUUCGUGGGGGAUAACGUAGGGAAACUUACGCUAAUACCGCAUACGACCUACGGGUGAAAGCAGGGGAUCUUCGGACCUUGCGCGAUUGAAUGAGCCGAUGUCGGAUUAGCUAGUUGGCGGGGUAAAGGCCCACCAAGGCGACGAUCCGUAGCUGGUCUGAGAGGAUGAUCAGCCACACUGGAACUGAGACACGGUCCAGACUCCUACGGGAGGCAGCAGUGGGGAAUAUUGGACAAUGGGCGCAAGCCUGAUCCAGCCAUACCGCGUGGGUGAAGAAGGCCUUCGGGUUGUAAAGCCCUUUUGUUGGGAAAGAAAAGCAGCAGGUUAAUACCCCGCUGUUCUGGCGGUACCCAAAGAAUAAGCACCGGCUAACUUCGUG